rnacentral:lncRNA from 1 species
UCUUUUAGAAUUAUAAAAAAAAAAUGUAUAAAUAAAACAAAAAUAAAUUAAAGUUGCCACGACAUCAUGAGCUACAAGAUUCUCCAUGAAGAAAAAAAAUGACCAAGGGUAAUUUGAAUAAUGAGAACUUGGCCAUGCCAAAACCCUUUCCAAUUCUUGGCUAUAAUUUGGUCUAUUAUUAUUUUUCACCCAUUGGGUCCAUGAUUACUACUCAAAAAGUGUUAUUUCAUAUCUUGUAAUUAACUCUUUUAAACACUUUUGAGUAGUAGUUAUUGCCUUUUAACCUAAUUAACAUAUUAAGG